rnacentral:rRNA from 1 species
AUAAUGGAGAGUUUGAUCCUGGCUCAGGACGAACGCUGGCGGCGUGCCUAAUACAUGCAAGUCGAGCGGAACCAUUGGAGCUUGCUCCUUUGGUUUAGCGGCG